AUUGAACGCUGGCGGCAUGCCUUACACAUGCAAGUCGAACGGCAUCGCGGGAAAGCUUGCUUUCCUGGCGGCGAGUGGCGAACGGGUGAGUAACACAUCGGAACGUACCGGCUAGUGGGGGAUAACCCGUCGAAAGACGGGCUAAUACCGCAUACGCUCUUCGGAGGAAAGCAGGGGACCUUUGGGCCUUGCGCUAGCCGAGCGGCCGAUGUCCGAUUAGCUAGUUGGUGGGGUAAAGGCCUACCAAGGCGACGAUCGGUAGCGGGUCUGAGAGGACGAUCCGACACACGGGGACUGAGACACGGCCCAGACUCCUACGGGAGGCAGCAGUGGGGAAUCUUGGACAAUGGGGGCAACCCUGAUCCAGCAAUGCCGCGUGGGUGAAGAAGGCCUUCGGGUUGUAAAGCCCUUUCGGCAGGGAAGAAAUCGGCGGGGCGAAUAACCCUGCUGGAUGACGGUACCUGCAGAAGAAGCACCGGCUAACUACGUG
rnacentral:rRNA from 1 species